rnacentral:rRNA from 1 species
UUCCAGACUCCUACGGGAGGCAGCAGUGGGGAAUAUUGCACAAUGGGGGAAACCCUGAUGCAGCGACGCCGCGUGAGCGAUGAAGUAUUUCGGUAUGUAAAGCUCUAUCAGCAGGGAAGAAGAUGACGGUACCUGACUAAGAAGCCCCGGCUAACCACGUGCCAGCAGCCGCGGUAAUACGUAGGGGGCAAGCGUUAUCCGGAUUUACUGGGUGUAAAGGGAGCGUAGACGGCGAUGCAAGCCAGAUGUGAAAGCCCGGGGCUCAACCCCGGGACUGCAUUUGGAACUGUGUGGCUGGAGUGUCGGAGAGGCAGGCGGAAUUCCUAGUGUAGCGGUGAAAUGCGUAGAUAUUAGGAGGAACACCAGUGGCGAAGGCGGCCUGCUGGACGAUGACUGACGUUGAGGCUCGAAAGCGUGGGGAGCAAACAGGAUUAGAUACCCCUGUA